UUCUAUAGAAUGUUGGUUAGCAACUCACUUCCAAACAUCGUGUCCAACGGCUCUGUCACACAGAACAUUUGAAAGGGACAUGGGUUGCGACUCAUUUUUGACGUAGCACCAGGCAGUGAGACGAUGGAUGUGACCCUGAAAGGGACGUGGGCUUAGACUCUGAAAAAGGAAUGCUAUUAGUGUGAGAUUCCACUUCCGUACCAAGCAAGGAAGCCAGAGGAAGGACCCCUAGCCCCCAGGCUGAAGAGCAAAGAGUGACACCUGAACAGGAAAAAGACAGAAAAAGGAACGCGGCCCAAAGGUCCUCCCUUCUUGAUUUGCCCUGGCUUUUCCAGAAGCGCGACAGGAUUGCAUGAGGAGAAGUUGGCACAACAUCACACGGAAAUCAUUUGCCUGAGGGGACAGGCUGCGUCUUCCUCUUGUUUGUCUUGUCUGGCUGUGGCCUGCAUGGGACAGAUCGUCUCCAAGCUUCUAGCACGGGCUCCAUUACCAAUGUGCUUCUCAGCCUCUCAGCGUUUGAAGGUAGAGUCCAGGUCAUCUGACUUAGCAUCUUCACUCACUGAAUGAUUUCCUGGGCCCUCUUGUAUUGAUUUUUAUCAUAAUAUAAAAUGGUAUGUAUUACUAUCAAUCUCUGUACUUUAUCUAUGA